UUCCGGUUGAUCCUGCCGGACCUGACUGCUAUCGGAUUGAUACUAAGCCAUGCGAGUCAUUGUAGCAAUACAAGGCAUACGGCUCAGUAACGCGUAGUCAAUCUAACCUAUGGACGGGGAUAACCUCGGGAAACUGAGAAUAAUACCCGAUAGAACAUUAUGCCUGGAAUGGUUUAUGUUUCAAAUAAUUUAUUGCCGUAGGAUGGGACUGCGGCCUAUCAGUUUGUUGGUGAGGUAAUGGCCCACCAAGACUAUUACAGGUACGGGCUCUGAGAGGAGUAGCCCGGAGAUGGGUACUGAGACACGGACCCAGGCCCUAUGGGGCGCAGCAGGCGAGAAAACUUUGCAAUGUGCGAAAGCACGACAAGGUUAAUCCGAGUGGUUUCUGCUAAAGGAACCUUUUGUUAGUCAUAGAACCACUAAUGAAUAAGGGGUGGGCAAGUUCUGGUGUCAGCCGCCGCGGUAAAACCAGCACCUCAAGUGGUCAGGAUGAUUAUUGGGCCUAAAGCAUCCGUAGCCUGCUUUGCCAGUUUUCGGUUAAAUCCAUACGCUCAACGUAUGGGCUGCCGGGAAUACUACAAAGCUAGGGAGUGGGAGAGGUAGACGGUACUCGGUAGGAAGGGGUAAAAUCCUUUGAUCUAUUGAUGACCACCUGUGGCGAAGGCGGUCUACCAGAACACGUCCGACGGUGAGGGAUGAAAGCUGGGGGAGCAAAACGGAUUAGAUACCCGGGUAGUCCCAGCUGUAAACUAUGCAAACUCGGUGAUGCAUUGGCUUGAUGCCAAUGCAGUGCCGCAGGGAAGCCGUUAAGUUUGCCGCCUGGAAGUACGUACGCAAGUAUGAAACUUAAAGGAAUUGGCGGGGGGAGCACCACAAGGGGUGAAGCCUGCGGAUCAAUUGGAUUCAACGCCGGGA
rnacentral:rRNA from 1 species